GCUUCUGUGGAGUGAGGGGCUUCGGGCUCGACCUCCACCCUUUGUGAACACAACUUGUUGCUUCGGGGGCGACCCUGCCGUUUCGACGGCGAGCGCCCCCGGAGGCCUUCAAACACUGCAUCUUUGCGUCGGAGUUUAAGUAAAUUAAACAAAACUUUCAACAACGGAUCUCUUGGUUCUGGCAUCGAUGAAGAACGCAGCGAAAUGCGAUAAGUAAUGUGAAUUGCAGAAUUCAGUGAAUCAUCGAAUCUUUGAACGCACAUUGCGCCCCUUGGUAUUCCGAGGGGCAUGCCUGUUCGAGCGUCAUUUCACCACUCAAGCCUCGCUUGGUAUUGGGCGCCGCGGUGUUCCGCGCGCCUCAAAGUCUCCGGCUGAGCUGUCCGUCUCUAAGCGUUGUGAUUUCAUUAAUCGCUUCGGAGCGCGGGCGGUCGCGGCCGUUAAAUCUUUUAUAAGGUUGACCUCGGAUCAGGUAGGGAUACCCGCUGAACUUAAGCAUAUCAAUAGGCGGAGGAAUCUUUCUGAGUGAGGGCUUCGGGCUCGACCUCCAACCCUUUGUGAACACAACUUGUUGCUUCGGGGGCGACCCUGCCGUUUCGACGGCGAGCGCCCCCGGAGGCCUUCAAACACUGCAUCUUUGCGUCGGAGUUUAAGUAAAUUAAACAGACUUUCAACACGGAUCUCUUGGUUCUGGCAUGAUGAAGAAGCAGCGGAAUGCGGAUAAGUAAUGGUGAAUGCGAAUUCGUGAAAUCAUGAAGCUUUUGAACGCCAUAUGCGCCCUUGGUAAUUCGAGGGGCAUGCUGUUGAGGCGUCAUUUCACCUCGGCCUCGCUGUAAUUGGGGCGGCCGCGGGUCCCGCGCCAUCCAGUCUCGCCUACUAAUCUCCUAGCCUGUGAUUUCAUUAUCCUACGAACGCGAGCGUGCGCCCUACCUUUUGAGGUACUCGGAUCGUAUGGAUACCGCUCACUAGCAUAUACCUAUAACGGCAGGG
rnacentral:rRNA from 1 species